CCCUGCCUCGCCUCCGCCUACACGUCCCACCCCGCCUACGACAAUGUCCAAAGUCCAGUAAGGCCCGAUUGAGGAGUAUGAGACUCCAUCAGCAGAAAUGCUGUUUCCACCGACACCAUUGCAGACCCCAAUCCCGACUCCAUUGCCUGGAACAGGUGAUCAAGGAAUGUAAAACAUCCCCACAGGUCCAUCUGAUGAUUCUGAUUAUACCCCAAGUCCAAUUAGCGAUGUCAGGAAUGGUCUUGACGUGAAAGGUGGAAGACCCAUUCCUUAUAUGCAACCCCCUUCUCCAUGGAUGACUCAGUGUCCUUUGGGUGUGGACGUUAAUGUUGCCUAUGAAGAAGGCCCGCUAUGGUGUUCUAAGCUUUGUCAUGCAGAAUAGCAACAAAGUUUUGAGGUAACUUGUCUUACUUGUCUUACUUUGUGAGUUAUUAAAAUCAUAUUUAUUUUUUGUCAUAUCCUACUCAUAUUUAUUUCCCAAAUAUCCGAUUAGUAUCCGUAUCCGAACCGUAUCCGAACCUCUAAUAUCCGAACCGUAUCCGUUUCCGUUUUAA